rnacentral:rRNA from 1 species
UAGGGUACCGUCAACAAUACUGGGUAUUAACCAAUACUGCCUUCGUCCCUCCGACAGAAGUUUACAACCAAGGUCUUCGUCCUUCACGCGGCGUUGCUUGUUCAGGGUUGCCCCCAUUGACAAAAAUUCCCCA